rnacentral:rRNA from 1 species
CAGCAGCCGCGGGAAUACAGAGGAUGCAAGCGUUAUCCGGAAUGAUUGGGCGUAAAGGGAGCGCAGGCGGUUUAGUAAGUCUGAAGUUAAAGGCAUUGGCUCAACCAAUGUAUGCUUUGGAAACUGUUAGACUUGAGUGCAGAAGGGGAGAGCGGAAUUCCAUGUGUAGCGGUGAAAUGCGUAGAUAUAUGGAGGAACACCGGUGGCGAAAGCGGCUCUCUGGUCUGUCACCGACGCUGAGGCUCGAAAGCGUGGGUAGCGAACAGGAUUAGAUACCCCCGUAGUCCCUGUCUCUUAUACC